rnacentral:rRNA from 1 species
AUUGAACGCUGGCGGCAAGCCUAACACAUGCAAGUCGAACGAGUGGCGGACGGGUGAGUAAUGUCUUGGAAACUGCCUGAUUGAGGGGGCUAACUACUGGAAACGGUAGCUAAUACCGCAUACCAUCGGAUGUGCCCAGGUGGUAUUAUCUAGUAGGUGGGGUAAAGGGUCACCUAGGCGACGAUCCCUAGCUGGUCUGAGAGGAUGACCAGCCAGACUGGAACUGAGACACGGUCCAGACUCCUACGGUAGGCAGCAGUGGGGAAUAUUGCACAAUGGGCGCAAGCCUGAUGCAGCCAUGCCGCGUGUAUGAAGAAGGCCUUCGGGUUGUAAAGUACUUUCAGCGGGGAGGCGGUACCCGCAGAAGAAGCACCGGCUAACUCCGUGCCAGCAGCCGCGGUAAUAC